rnacentral:rRNA from 1 species
UAGGUGAACCUGCGGAAGGACAUUA